CAUUUUAGCAUACAUGUUGACUCUGGCAGCAAUAUGUAUUCUGUACAUUGCCUAGCUCCAUUCCAACCUAUUCAUACAGGAGUGCUGUGCCUGCUUUGGAACUGCCUUGCGCUAUUUUCACAGAUUUCCUCCACUGGUCCUGAAAACUAACCACCAUGCAACGUGACAAGGUGAAAAGGAGAAAUCCCUCCAAGAUGAAAUGGGGUAGUAAAGGGAAGCAGGUAUAUCAGCUAUCCCAAGUGAAGGCCUCUCCAGAUGACUGCUGACACCACCAGGGCAAAACAGACAAGCAUCUCCUAGGACUGACACCAAUAUAACUGAUUCAGCCUUAUAGUAAGAGGAAGAACUUAAAGACUUCUCCAGAUCCUUACCAGUAUUCUGAUGAUGUAAGCAAUCAAAUGCUGUUCAAAAGAAACUCAAGCAAUAGACAACAACCUGGAAUUUUCAAGAUAUAGUGUGAGAAAACACUGGAUGAGGCAAGCACAAGGUUUUUUCAAUGUUGUGGUAACUGGGUUCCUUUUGGAUGUCCACAGGAAGUAAUGGUAAAGCAUUCACCAUUCAGGCAGAAGGAAUUAAUCUUACAGAGAAAUCCACUGGAUAAAAAAAAAUGGUGGAGAAAAGUAAAUAAAUGUAUUGAGACAAAGAAAGCACCCAAUACAGGGUUAAAAUAAUUAAUCUCCACUGUACCAUAUAAAGUAUAAACUCAGUAGGACAGAGGUCUGAAACAACUAUGUUUUAAAAUGUUUCUAACAUGCCAAAUUAUUCUACCUCUACUGGUCUCCCAAGAAAAAAAAUACCUAGAUACAUUCAGUUAGUUGUUCUUUGACUGAGUAAUCAAGACUCACUCACACUGUUCACUACAUCAGACCAGAUCUCAUCUAUGCAUCCAAAUGAAAUGACAAAAAUUAUGGGAUAUUUUCUUCUAGCUACUGAGAUUUGAAAGUCUACAAGAAGCAGCCGAUACAAACAAUUGCCCACCAUUUGAUGGCUAGAAAGACUAUAUAAGACUACUAUAAAAUUUUGAGUGGAAAAAUCAAAAAACAAUCCUUGGAGCCUAUAUUCAGUUUGGUAGCUUAGCAUCUCAUCAGUUAUUUAAACCAGUACUGAGGUUGUGCUAACACACAGGCAUUAUGAAUAAGGCAAUCUUGAGAUGACAUCCAGUUUCUCAGGCUCUGAGAGUAUCCCAGACAGUCAAAAUAUACAACAAACUCAGAGGUAAAUUUUCUAAUGGGCAUAAAAGGAAUUCAUGUCAUAGUACAGGCUUUCUCCAGUUCUGGUCACAGCUGCUGAUGAAUGUCAUCUUUUUCUUUUAGUGUCUAAAACAUGUAAGCGUUAAUGUGUGCAAAAAGAAUAAGGCCCUUUGGCCUCAGUCAAUGAACGUAAAAGGUUCCACGUCUUUAUUUAUGGGAGGCCACUGUUAGACAAAAUUGACCAUAAACUACUUACUGCUGUUGCCAAAAAAGAUCUGACAAACACUCCCACUGAGAACAGAAAGGGCUUUUUUUUUUCAUUUACAAAUAUAGGAUUUGCAAAUUGAACACAAACCUGGAAAGAUUUGUGGCUGUUGACUCACCCUCUAGAGCAUUUCAGCAAAACAAAGCAGCUGAACAAAGUCCAGAACUAAAUUAAAUACGUGUCAGUUUGAGGAAAAGGAAACUUGUACACAUCAACCACUACCUGUCCAAUCUCAGAUAAAAUACAAAUGGCAAUUGUCAGAGCUGCUGCUGAGGACUCAGGGAGUAAGGAAGGCUGUGAUCACAGUCCCAUUAUCAAUUUGAAGGACAGCAGCUGGCAGUAACUGUGGUUUUAUUUAAGGGCACAAGUGGCAAUUCCUAAAGGGAUAAUGUUUAAAAUUCUGAGAAAUAUAAGAAGUUUCUUCCCCGCUGAGGCAGAUAAAAAGAUCCAUUAACCUGUGUCUAACAGUGGUCACCAGUACAUGUUUAACAAAGAGUAGAUAUGCUCUGCCUUUAUGUUGUUGUCAAAUCUAGCGGAAAUCAUCAGUUCAGAGACUGCGGAGCCCAAGGCUGUAAGGAGACCAUCAUAUCUGAUUCCACUAAAUGAUUCUAUUCACUAUAAAUUUAGCCAUUUAACUUUCACAUCAUUUACACUUUCCAACUUUACACACUGAGUUCUAUUUGUUUGUUUGUUUUAAAGCUGACAAUUUAAAGUCUGAUAACUUCUUGGUACCCUCACCCUCUUGUGUUGUGAAGGACGCUGGAUAAUGGUUCCUUACAUAUCACGUUAUCAACUUCCAGCUUACCACAUCUUAUCAUAUCCCUCCUUGGUCACGUCCCUUUUCCUUGAUGAAGUGUAUUAGUCUAUUCAAUCCAUCUUACAACUCUGAUCAUCUUUGCUGCUCUUAUCUAUGCUUUUUUUAUUAUUAUUAUUCUAUUAGUUCCUUUCUGAUGUGGAAUAACAAGAAUGCCAUAUUGUAUUCAAGACAUGAAACACAUUAUUUAUACAGUGGCAUACCACUUUCAGUUCUGCUCACUGUGCCUUUACUAACGGCUUCUAAUGUUCUAUGUGCUUUUCUUGACCUCAUUUGAGCAGUGACUGGCUCCCUUUCCUGCAUAAUAACAGCUCAUUCAGAUGCCAUCAGCAAUGACAGAGAAUUAUUUUGCUUUAAUCAUUUAAUUGGUAUUCAAGUCAUACACAAAUUAUUAAAAAAAAAAAGGCAAAAUAAAAAAGAAAAUGAGAGAAGAAAGGACAACCUUCCUCCCUCGUUGGCCAUAAAAAAAAAAAUACUGUAGUGACCUCAAAGAGGAGUAAAUUUAACAAAUUGGAUGCCUGAUCUGUUAAAUGAAAAAUCUAAAGAGAAGAAACACCACUGGAAUGGUAUGGUAGACCAAAGAUCUCUGAAAUGAUGUAGAUUUAUAUUUUUGAGGCUUAAAUCAACCCCAUCUCAAAAUGAAAGCCUCCUUUAGAUCAUCACUUGAAUUCGUUUGAAAUAACCUUACCAGAAAAACCUAUGUCUAAAUGAAUCAUAUAAGUCUAAAUGAUCAUACUAAAUUCAUUUGCUGUAGACACAGCUCUUUCUGGCAGUGAAAGCUCAGACCAGUACAGGUCUCCAACAUGAUUUAGUGAAGUCAUUAACACAGCAUGAACAUGCUUGUUUCAUACCUUGUGCACAGAGUUUAUAACUUAAUGUUAGAUGAUUAUAUGAUUAAGAACUACUUAUCUCUGUGGCAUUUUAGUCUUCUGUUUUCCUAUCAUACAAUUAGAGGGUUUAACUUUUCAUCAUGCUGAGGUUUCUUUUUUUCUUUUUUUACUUCUCUUCCUAACAAUAAUCCAAACUCUGUUCUACAGGCAGAAGAAAUGAAAAAAGACAAUGUAUUCUGUGUCAUCCCUUUAGAAUACGUGGAAUAAAAAGAUAGGGGGCUCAUUUUCAGACACCACCAAUAGAGUCACAGGUCAUCUAAACGCUUACAGAUUAAACAAGGUUAAAAGGAAACUUGAACCGAGAAACUGCUUGUCAGAAAAGACAGUGGGGUCAGGUGCCAGAUGUAAUAAAUAUUCUGAUUUGCAGCCCAUGGAGUCUUUGCUAAUGCAUGGGUAAUUGCAACUCUUCGGUUUCAUUCUGAUGCUUAAUACAAAUCCCAUCCCUCCAGCCCAUCGUCUAUACUCUCAUAGCCGAUCUCUUAUCAGAGUGUAAAACAGGCCCUGCAUCCUGUGAGCAAUGUAAAGUCCUCUCAGCUGCUGAAUAUGUGACUUCACACAACCAACAAGGGAAAAGGCUGCUACAUUGUCAUCUCCUCAAAGCAUUAGUCACGUGCAAAUUCAGUGUAUUAACAAAGGACUCUCCUAAGGCAAAACUUUGGCGCAUCAGUUGCAGGAAAAUAUAAUUUCAGCAAAAGGUACAAAAUUGCUGAAGAGUUUAGAGACACAUAAUAGCCUUGUAAAUUUUCAAAAUGAAUAAGAAAUGUUUUUCUGUACCUCCCACACAGUGUUUUGUAAAUGGAUUGUUGAACAUCUCUGAAUUCUGCAUUUUGCACAAGUUAAAUAGAAUCCUCCCAUAACAAAGACAGUUGAGAAACUGCAGUAGGCAGAAGUAACACUGAAAAUCUGAACUAAUAGUCAUGUUGAUAACUCUAAGAGAAAUGGGAGAAAAAUCUGAUUAGAUUAUGUCUAGGUUAGUGUCCUGGUUUCAGCUGGGACAGGGUUGAUUUUUUUCAUAGUGUCUGUUAUGAUGCUGGUUUUUUUGGUUUUAGGAGAAAAAUAAUGUUGAUAACACCCUGAUGUUUUACUUGUUGCUGAACAGUGCUGUACAGAGCCAAGGAUGCUUCAGCUUCUCACACUGUCCUGCCAGCGACAGGGGCUGAGGGGCACAAGCAGCUGGGAGGGGACAAAACCAGGACAGCUGAUCUAAACUUGCCAAAGGGAUAUUCCAUACCACAUAACAUCAUGUGAAAAAAAAACUAUGAAAUCGAGGGGAGUUGGCUGAGGAAUGGCUGCUGUUCAGGGCCUGGUUGGGUAUUGGUUGGUGGGUGGUGAGCAACGUGCUGUGUAUCCCUUGUUUUGUAAAUCUGUAAUUAUCGUGACUAUUAUUUUUCUCUUCCUUUUCUGUCAUAGUAGAUAGUUGUUUUUUUAUCUCAACCUACAAGUUUUACUUCUUUUUUCACUUACAGUUCUCUCCCACAUCCCUCAGUGUGGAGGGCGAUGGUAGAAUGGCUAAGUGGUUCUGAGCUGCUUCCAGGUUAAACCACAGCACUUCUAUUUGAAAUUGUCUUCCUACUUUAAGUAAUGUUCCUAGUUUAAGUAAUGUUCCUACUGAUAACAUAACCAGUGAAAUUGUUCCAUAUCAAAGAUAAAUAUAUAUUUAUAUAUAUAUAUAUAUAAUUCUACAUAACCUGUUAAUUUUUUGUUGUUGUUGUUUUAAUGAAUAAACAUUUUGGUCUAUAUAUUUGUCAAAGUUUUCUCCUGGCUUUACGAGUCUAACACAUGCAAUCUAUCGGUCACUGAGAGCUCAUUUGCUGCAGUAACGUUCUUUGACUGCUACAAAGAGGGGAGAGGGGGGGGGAUGGACCAGCAAUUUUUUGAAAUGUUAUUCCAUGGCAAAUUUGGCCAAAGAAUAUGCUGUACUUAAACCAUGACUGCAGGAUAGCAUACACAUACCUCAUUGCUUGCAGCAGUUUUUUCAUUUGGCCCUCACUCAUUUUCU
rnacentral:lncRNA from 1 species